rnacentral:rRNA from 1 species
GACGAAGGGGGCUAGCGUUGUUCGGAAUUACUGGGCGUAAAGCGCGUGUAGGCGGCCAGAUAGGUCUGCUGUGAAAACUCGAGGCUCAACCUCGAGCUGUCGGCGGAAACCAUCUGGCUAGAGUCCGGAAGAGGAGAGUGGAAUUCCUGGUGUAGCGGUGAAAUGCGCAGAUAUCAGGAGGAACACCGUAUGGCGAAGGC